rnacentral:rRNA from 1 species
AGCUCCAAUAGCGUAUAUUAAAGUUGUUGCGGUUAAAAAGCUCGUAGUUGGAUCUCGGCAGCCAGGGGGCGGUUCGCUCCAAAGCGUGACUGCCCCAUUUGGCUGUGUGAUUGGCGGAGGUUCCGGGGUGCUCUUCGUUGAGUGUCCCGGUGCGCCGUCAGGUUUACUUUGAAAAAAUUAGAGUGCUCAAAGCAGGCUUUUCAGGCUUGAAUAUUCGUGCAUGGAAUAAUGGAAUAGGAACUCGUUCCUAUUUUGUUGGUUUUCGGGAAUCGAGUUAAUGAUUAAUAGGGACAAUUGGGGGCAUUAGUAUUCAAACGACAGAGGUGAAAUUCUUGGACCGUUUGAAGACUAACUACUGCGAAAGCAUUUGCCAAGAGUGUUUUCA